UACGUAGGGGGCAAGCGUUGUCCGGAAUCAUUGGGCGUAAAGAGCUCGUAGGCGGCUUGUCGCGUCGUCCGUGAAAACCCACAGCUCAACUGUGGGCUUGCGGUCGAUACGGGCAGGCUAGAGUUCGGUAGGGGAGACUGGAAUUCCUGGUGUAGCGGUGAAAUGCGCAGAUAUCAGGAGGAACACCAGCGGCGAAGGCGGCGCUCUGGGCUGGAACUGACGCUGAGGAGCGAAAGCGUGGGGAGCGAACAGG
rnacentral:rRNA from 1 species